rnacentral:rRNA from 1 species
UACGUAGGGUGCAAGCGUUGUCCGGAAUUAUUGGGCGUAAAGAGCUCGUAGGCGGUUUGUCGCGUCUGCUGUGAAAACUCGGGGCUUAACCCCGGGCCUGCAGUGGGUACGGGCAGACUAGAGUGCGGUAGGGGAGACUGGAAUUCCUGGUGUAGCGGUGAAAUGCGCAGAUAUCAGGAGGAACACCGGUGGCGAAGGCAGCACUCUGGGCCGGUACUGACGCUGAGGAGCGAAAGCGUGGGUAGCAAACAGG